ensembl:snRNA U6 U6 spliceosomal RNA
UCACUUUGGCAGCAAAUAUACUAAAAUUGGAGAUUAGCCUGGCCCCCGCGCCAAGGGUGACACGCAAACUUAUGAAGUGUUCCAUAUUUUU